rnacentral:rRNA from 1 species
GUAGGUGGCAAGCGUUGUCCGGAAUUAUUGGGGCGUAAAGCGCGCGCAGGCGGUUCUUUAAGUCUGAUGUGAAAGCCCACGGGCUCAACCGUGGAGGGUCAUUGGAAACUGGAGAACUUGAGUACAGAAGAGGAAAGCGGAAUUCCACGUGUAGCGGUGAAAUGCGUAGAGAUGUGGAGGAACACCAGUGGCGAAGGCGGCUUUCUGGUCUGUAACUGACGCCGAGGCGCGAAAGCGUGGGGAGCAAACAGGAUUGAUACCCUGGUAGUCCACGCCGUAAACGAUGAGUGCUAAGUGUUAGGGGGUUUCCGCCCCUUAGUGCUGCAGCUAACGCAUCAAGCACUCCGCCUGGGGAGUACGGCCGCAAAGGCUG